rnacentral:rRNA from 1 species
GCCUAAAUACUACUUAGUGACCGAUAGCGCAUAGUACUGUGAAGGAAAGGUGAAAAGGACCCCGGGAGGGGAGUGAAAGAGAACCUGAAACCCUGUGUUUACAAGCUGUGGAAGUUCUUUAAAUGAACAACCGCGUACUUUUUGUAGAACGGUCCGGCGAGUUGCGGAUACUGGCAAGGUUAAGCACUUAAGGUGCGGAGCCGAAGGGAUACCAAGUCUUAACAGGGCGUAAAGUCAGUAUACGCAGACCCGAAACCGGGUGAUCUAUCCAUGUCCAGGUUGAAGUUGUCGUAAAAGACAAUGGAGGACCGAAGCCACAUCCGUUGAAAAGGGUGGGCAUGAGGUGUGGAUAGGGGAGAAAUUCCAAUCGAACCCGGAGAUAGCUGGUUCUCCUCGAAAUAGCUUUAGGGCUAGCCUCGAUUUAGUCUUAUGGAGGUAGAGCACUGAAUUUCCGCGGGGGCGUCAAAGCUUACCAAAGAAUAUCAAACUCCGAAUGCCAUGUAGAUGAUGAUCGGGAGUCAGACUGCACGAGAUAAGUUGGGCAGUCAAAAGGGAAAGAGCCCAGACCACCGGCUAAGGUCCCAAAGUGCGUGUUAAGUGGAAAAGGAUGUGGGAAUUCGAAGACAACUAGGAUGUUGGCUCAGAAGCAGCCAUACAUUCAAAGAGUGCGUAACAGCUCACUAGUCGAGAGUUCCUGCGCCGAAAAUGUCCGGGGCUGAAACACGACACCGAAGCCGUGGACUCGCAAUGCGAGUGGUAGAGGAGCAUUCUUAAAACCGACGAAGCUGUACCGGAAGGAGCAGUGGAGGGAUAAGAAGAGAGAAUGCCGGAAUGAGUAGCGAGAGAAAGGUGGGAAUCCUUUCGGCCGAAUAUCUAAGGUUUCCAGAGUAAAGCUGAUCUGCUCUGGGUAAGUCGGGGCCUAAGCACAGGUCGCAAGACGUAAGCGAUGGAUAACAGGUUUAGAUUCCUGUACCACGCAUUAUCAGAACUGUAGGGACGCAUGUGGAAAGCACGAGCCGGGAAUGGAAAGACCGGUACAAGCGGGGUAGGUGUACAAUAGGCAAAUCCGUUGUAUAAUCCGAAGACGUGAUGUGGAGCGAAAUAAAGUAGUGAAGCGUGUGAGCCAUGUGCCGAGAAAAGCUGCUAUUGUGUAAUGCGUGCCCGUACCGUAAACCGACACAGGUGGAUGAGGAGAGAAUCCUAAGGCCGACGGAAGAAGCAUUGUUAAGGAAUUCGGCAAAAUGACCCCGUAACUUCGGGAGAAGGGGUGCCUGCGAGAGCAGGCCGCAGAGAAUAGGCUCAAGCAACUGUUUAGCAAAAACACAGGUCUAUGCGAAACCGAAAGGUGAAGUAUAUGGGCUGACGCCUGCCCGGUGCUGGAAGGUUAAGAGGAGAGGUUAGCUUCGGCGAAGCUUUGAAUUUAAGCCCCAGUAAACGGCGGCCGUAACUAUAACGGUCCUAAGGUAGCGAAAUUCCUUGUCGGGUAAGUUCCGACCCGCACGAAAGGCGUAAUGAUUUGAGCACUGUCUCGAC